ACCUCGGACCGCAGUGAAGCCCCUCCUCCUCCUUUGCAUGGCGUCGGCUCGGCUCCAGCCCUCUGGCGCCCCCUUGUGUCUUCUCUGGGAACUCGUUGUCCUCGCACUCGCUACAGUCUCCGACCUCUUUGAUAAAACGUGGUGGGUUGCCGCCAGGGAAGCUGGAUGGAAGCUCUAAUCCAGGCUGCAUUAAGGGAGGGAAGCAGGUUGCUAGUCCUCGUUGUGCCUCAAGGACAGGGUUGCCAUAUUCAAGUUCAGCUGGGUCUUCCCCCAUGCUGCUGCUGCUGCUGCUUCUCCUAACUUGACCACAGAUGAGGAAGAUAUUACUCAAGGAAAGGUGUGAACAGAAAAUCACCCAGUUCUCAGCCCAGCAACCAAUACAAGAACCCAGAACCACAGUUUUUUUUUCCUUCUUAAGGGGAAAAAAUGUUCAUUAUUUCUGCCUGUGGGAGAGGGAAUGAUGUGUGUGAAAGUGGAAUGUGCUGGCAAUAUGUUGAGGUUGACUAAGGGCUCACAGAACCCUCGUCCCCUAGUUUUGUUUUACAUCAGAUCCCCCAAGGUCUGAACAGAGUAAUUAGAACUAGGCAGAUCUACCAGCAACCUUUAUAGACACUCUGCCAUUUUCUAGCCCCCUCCAAUGCUCAACUUGUGCAUUUGUGUAAAUAAACAUGCCAAAUAUUA